GGAACUGCCUGAUGGAGGGGGAUAACUACUGGAAACGGUAGCUAAUACCGCAUAACGUCGCAAGACCAAAGAGGGGGACCUUCGGGCCUCUUGCCAUCGGAUGUGCCCAGAUGGGAUUAGCUAGUAGGUGGGGUAACGGCUCACCUAGGCGACGAUCCCUAGCUGGUCUGAGAGGAUGACCAGCCACACUGGAACUGAGACACGGUCCAG
rnacentral:rRNA from 1 species